UAAACGGAAUUUUCGUUGGUGGAAGGACGCCCCGGGGUGACGGUUGUCAGACUGCAGACUAGGGUGCUAUAGAGAAUAAACUUGACCUGCGAGGUGGAACAGCCGGGCUUGUGACUCUGAAGAAAGUGAUGGACUGUGCCUAUUGCUACCCACGCAACGGUCGUGGCUUCCUGGGAUGAAACAGUUCUUGAGGGAAGGAACUGAAGGUGCCAGAGCAGCCUGGCGUCCUUCACCAGAGACUCUGUACUGGAGCUGCAGGGAGGUAGCCAGAACCAACAACAGAGCAGAUACAAGAGGUGCUAGCUGAACCUAGGGCUCCAGAAAAUGCCUGCAUCCCAAGGCUCAGUGUCAUUCAAGGAUGUGGCUGUGGUUUUCAACUGGGAGGAGUAGCAGCUACUGGACCUCCUUCAGAAGAACUUGUAUCAAGAUGUGAUGCUGGAAAAUUUUAUCAACUUAGUAUCAGUGGGUAAGAAGAGCAUUCUGGGUACUGUAGGCAGUGGACUGCCUUUUCUUUCUCAGGGAUGGAAGGGGUGGAGUCUUACAGCUGCCGUACUUUUCUAGACUUGAGUUUCAUACGUCAUAGAUUUUAGUACCUUCUGGCCUCUUAGUUUUCUUCUCCCACUCCCAAAGCAAAAGUCCUUUACUUGGCCAAGUUGGAAUUUGUUCAACCCCUUAAAUAUAACCUUAUUCUACAGAGGACUUGUAUUUGAGUCUGUGGGUCCUCUGUAAUUCCCCUUGAGUAGGGUAUGAUGUUACCAAAGCACAUGCAUUCUACCAGUUGCAACAAGCACCACGGAUAACAGGAAAAAACCCAGAGUCAGACUCAUUCCGGUGAAUGAAAAACCAGCGCCAUGGGAUAAAGGGAAGUAUCAGUCUUUGCUGGCCAGAAAGAGGGAGGCACCUCAAAAAUAUCCGGAGAAAUGUUCUUGAAAUUUUUAAGCUCUCAAUAUGACUCGGAACAGCUGACCUGAGUUCCCACCUAACGUGAACAUUGACUCCUUUUCUCUUUUUCUUGGCCAUGCAGCAUGGCUUGUGGAAUUUUAGUUCCCUGACCACCAGGGAUCCAACUCGGGCCCUUGGCAGUGAAAGUGCUGUGACUUCAUAUUUUAAUCUCUCCAUGUUAGGUCUCCUGCAUUGGCAGGUAGAUUCUUCACCACUGAGAAACCACCUGUAAUUAUCAACUUGCCUGUAUUAGGUCUCUUUUGCCUGAUUUAAAAAACACACACACACAUUAUUUUAGAUAUUCUGAUCAGAUCCCUCUCUAGUCCAUCUUGGAACUUGCUCUCCUAAUUAAUCUUUCUCUCUGUUAUCCUCAGUGUACUUGCCUUCUCCUUGUCUCCAUCUCCUUAAUCCAUGUUUAUAUUAAUAGCUCUCUUUUCUUAUAUAUUCAAGCAUACAUAAAUUCUCCAUUCUUCUCCUUCUGUGUAUCUCUCACGCCUCUUGUGUGUGCAUGCUAAGUUGCUUCACUCGUGUCCGACUCUUUGUGACCCCAUAGACUGUAGCCUGCCAGGCCCCUCUGUCCAUGGGAUUCU